CAUUUGAGUCUGAAAAUCUUGAUAGUGGUAAUACUGAGAGUACCUCUGGGAUAUCAAUCUUUCAGACUAGUGUAAGAAAAAGACUGCAGGUAUUUUUGCAAUCCUCUGACUUGUAUGAUCCAGAAGAAGUUCUUGACUUGAUUGAAGGGUCAGAGUUAUGGUUAGAAAAGGAAGUUGGAAGACAGUGAGGCUGCUGAGGAGUAUUGUGCUAAAAUUGGCAGACCUGAUGCUUACAUGCAGUUGCUUGAAAUGUAUUUGGAUCCACAAGAUGGUAAGGAGCCCAUGUUUAAUGCUGCUGUUCGCCUUCUCCACAAUCAUGGAGAAUCAUUGGACCCUUUGCAAGUUUUAGAGGUAUU